CUAGGGUUUUAACAAGGAAAGAUUGGGAAGCAUUUUGAAACAUCAGCCGCCAACCAAAACCAUCAGAUUACAAGGCUUUGCUUCUACUCUUACAAAGAUGAAUGUGAUUCAUGGAGAAAAUGUUGAACCACCAAGAUUUUGGGAGAUGGUUACCACUGCUAACCAUGUUCAGGGCAGAGCAGUUUUGCAUUUCCCCCGAACAAUCGUGUCUAACUAUUUGCUACCUCAGCAACGACAGAUUCUUCUGAUUUUGGAUAACUCAAACAUUUUUGUGAAU